rnacentral:rRNA from 1 species
GUUGGCGGGGUAACGGCCCACCAAGGCUACGAUGGGUAGCCGGCCUGAGAGGGUGUCCGGCCACACUGGGAUUGAGAUACGGCCCAGACUCCUUCGGGAGGCAGCAGUCGAGGAUCUUCCACAAUGGGCGAAAGCCUGAUGGAGCGACGCCGCGUGAGGGAUGAAGGCCCUUUGGGUUGUAAACCUCUGUUAGGGGAGAAGAACAGCGGGGGGAGCAACAUGCCCUCCGCCUGACGUUAUCCCCAGAGAAAGCUCCGGCCAACUCCGUGCCAGCAGCCGCGGUAAUACGGGGGGAGCGAGCGUUGUCCGGAAUCAUUGGGCGUAAAGGGCGUGUAGGCGGCUCGGCAAGUCGAAUGUGAAAUCCCACGGCUCAACCGUGGAACUGCGUUCGAAACUGCCCUGCUUGAGUGCGGGAGAGGUGUGCGGAAUUCCUGGUGUAGCGGUGGAAUGCGUAGAUAUCAGGAAGAACACCGGUGGCGAAGGCGGCACACUGGCCUAGCACUGACGCUGAGGCGCGAAAGCGUGGGGAGCGAACGGGAUUAGAUACCCCGGUAGUCCACGCUGUAAACGUUGGGCACUAGGUAUCGGAGGUCUCAACCCCUUCGGUGCCGCAGUUAACGCGUUAA